AUGGAAACAGACUGCCUGGAGAUAGUUAAUCUCUGGAACACUAGUCAUAACAGCCUUUCUGUUGUGGCUCCUUUACUUUUAGAAAUUGGAGAGCUAGCUUCAUCUUUUUCUUCUUUUGUUGUUCAACAUGUAAACAGGGCAGCCAAUGUACCGGCCCACCUUUGUGCUAAACAUGCAAGCACAUUGUUGGUCACCGAAAGUUGGACUGGCUCGAGACCUUCCUUCCUACUCACCAGCCUUUUGGCGGAUGAUGCUAGGAGUGCCUUUGUUGAAUAA
rnacentral:rRNA from 1 species